rnacentral:rRNA from 1 species
GCUUGUCUCAAAGAUUAAGCCAUGCAUGUCUAAGUGUAAAUAAGUCUAUACUGUGAAACUGCGAAUGGCUCAUUAAAUCAGUUAUCGUUUAUUUGAUGAUCUCUUACUACUUGGAUAACCGUAGUAAUUCUAGAGCUAAUACAUGCACAAAAUCCCGACUUACGAAGGGAUGUAUUUAUUAGAUACAAACCAACAUCGUGGUGAUUCAUAAUAACUUUGCGAAUCGUAUGCCUCACGGCGACGAUGAAUCAUUCAAGUUUCUGACCUAUCAGCUUCCGACGGUAGGGUAUUGGCCUACCGUGGCAAUGACGGGUAACGGAGAAUUAGGGUUCGAUUCCGGAGAGGGAGCCUGAGAAACGGCUACCACAUCUAAGGAAGGCAGCAGG